rnacentral:rRNA from 1 species
CGCGGCCUAUCAGCUUGUUGGUGAGGUAACGGCUCACCAAGGCGACGACGGGUAAAGCUGGUCUGAGAGGACGAUCAGCCACACUGGGACUGAGACACGGCCCAGACUCCUACGGGAGGCAGCAGUGGGGAAUCUUGCGCAAUGGGCGAAAGCCUGACGCAGCAACGCCGCGUGCGGGAUGAAGGCCUUCGGGUUGUAAACCGCUUUCAGUGGGGACGAAUUCAGACGGUACCCACAGAAGAAGCCCCGGCCAACUACGUGCCAGCAGCCGCGGUAACACGUAGGGGGCGAGCGUUGUCCGGAAUCAUUGGGCGUAAAGAGCUCGUAGGCGGCUCAGUAAGUCGGGUGUGAAACCCUCAGGCUCAACCUGGGGACGCCACCCGAUACUGCUGUGGCUAGAGUCCAGUAGGGGAGUGUGGAAUUCCCGGUGUAGCGGUGAAAUGCGCAGAUAUCGGGAGGAACACCAGCGGCGAAGGCGGCACUCUGGGCUGGAACUGACGCUGAGGAGCGAAAGCGUGGGUAGCAAACAGGAUUAGAUACCCUGGUAGUCCACGCCGUAAACGUUGGGCACUAGGUGUGGGGACCCUCCAACGGUUUCCGUGCCGUAGCUAACGCAUUAAGUGCCCCGCCUGGGGAGUACGG